rnacentral:rRNA from 1 species
CCUACGGGAGGCAGCAGUGGGGGAUAUUGCACAAUGGGGGGAACCCGGAUGCAGCGACGCCGCGUGGGUGAAGAAGCGCCUCGGCGCGUAAAGCCCUGUCAGCAGGGAAGAAAAUGACGGUACCUGAAGAAGAAGCCCCGGCUAACUACGUGCCAGCAGCCGCGGUAAUACGUAGGGGGCAAGCGUUAUCCGGAUUUACUGGGUGGAAAGGGGGCGCAGACGGCGAUGCAAGCCAGGAGUGAAAGCCCGGGGCCCAACCCCGGGACUGCUCUUGGAACUGCGUGGCUGGAGUGCAGGAGGGGCAGGCGGAAUUCCUGGUGUAGCGGUGAAAUGCGUAGAUAUCAGGAGGAACACCGGUGGCGAAGGCGGCCUGCUGGACUGCAACUGACGUUGAGGCCCGAAAGCGUGGGGAGCAAACAGGAUUAGAUACCCCAGUAGUC